rnacentral:rRNA from 1 species
UACGGGGGGGGCAAGCGUUGUUCGGAAUUACUGGGCGUAAAGGGCUCGUAGGCGGCCAACUAAGUCAGACGUGAAAUCCCUCGGCUUAACCGGGGAACUGCAUCUGAUACUGGAUGGCUUGAGUUCGGGAGAGGGAUGCGGAAUUCCAGGUGUAGCGGUGAAAUGCGUAGAUAUCUGGAGGAACACCGGUGGCGAAGGCGGCAUCCUGGACCGGCAUUGACGCUGAGGCGCGAAAGCGUGGGGAGCGAACAGG